GGAUAUUUACUUGCUCGGAGGAACCAUCACUAAUCCAGAUGGAGUGGUAUCAUCAACAAAUGAAAUUCACAAAUUAAGCAUCGCAAAGAUGAAAUGGAAAGUACCGCUGUAUGUCGGCAUCCCUCCCUCCAGACGUCACAGACACACGGCUUUCAUCGUCCACAGUCAUAUUUAUGUGUUUGGAGGCAAAAAUGAAGAACAAGAUUUUAAUGACUUGAAAAUAAUGAAGUUAAUAAACCCCUCAGAGAGACAGCCAGGUAAGUAACG
rnacentral:lncRNA from 1 species